GACGAACGCUGGCGGCGUGCUUAACACAUGCAAGUCGAACGGAAAGGCCCUGCUUUCGUGGGGUGCUCGAGUGGCGAACGGGUGAGUAACACGUGAGUAACCUGCCCUUGACUUUGGGAUAACUUCAGGAAACUGGGGCUAAUACCGGAUAGGAGCUCCUGCUGCAUGGUGGGGGUUGGAAAGUUUCGGCGGUUGGGGAUGGACUCGCGGCUUAUCAGCUUGUUGGUGGGGUAGUGGCUUACCAAGGCUUUGACGGGUAGCCGGCCUGAGAGGGUGACCGGCCACAUUGGGACUGAGAUACGGCCCAGACUCCUACGGGAGGCAGCAGUGGGGAAUAUUGCACAAUGGGCGGAAGCCUGAUGCAGCGACGCCGCGUGCGGGAUGACGGCCUUCGGGUUGUAAACCGCUUUCGCCUGUGACGAAGCGUGAGUGACGGUAAUGGGUGAAGAAGCACCGGCUAACUACGUG
rnacentral:rRNA from 1 species